ACCCCUAAAGGCAUAAUUGAAAUUGCGAACAAUUUUUUUCACAUAAUCCCAUUUUUAACCUUUAUAUCUUAUGCUUCAGCUUCUUCUUUAUUUCUGAAUCGAGAAAAACCAAUGGAACUCUCCGCUAUCUCCAUCACUGCCGCCACCAUCUCCAUCUCUAUCUCCGUCGCCACCAUAACCAACACCACAAUCGUCUCAGUGAGUUAUCACGUAUUUACUUUUUAAUUUCACAUCUAAAUAAAAAUCACUCUUCUCUAUCUCUCCGGCAAUCACCACCACCACCACCACCACCAUCUCUUACGCCAACUGAUUCAGAUUCAAAAACAGAUUUAAAAAGAUUAAGAUCUGAUUUUAGGUUUAGAUUUCUGAUAAGUUUAGAAUCGAACUUGUUCGAAUUAUCGAAGCUCAAUUUGUAAUGUAGUCUCAAUUGUUGAUGAUGAUGGUGAUAGAGAUGAUGGUCGUGGUGGCGGUGGAGGAGGAAGUCAAACCUAUGUUAUUUAUAGAUGGUGGUGGUGGUGGUGGAGGAAGAUAUCAAAUCUAUGUUUUCCACUCAAAAUCUCAACGAAGAAGAAGAAGAAUUUCCACAUAAGGAAUCUUAAUUAUACCGAUAUCAAUUUCGGAAAGGUCUCUCCUCCGUAACUCAGUUAACAUAAUACGAGAAUUCCUUGUUGCAAGGAUUCCCACGACCAACGACGCGAUUGGAAUCCUAACGCCGCACCCAGUAGGUACUUACCAUUAUAAUUCAUACUUCAUAUUGAUUAUUCCCAAUAUCGAUCUUAUUUCUUCUAUAAGCUAUCUUCUGUUAGUAAGCAAGUUUUUCUGUUCUACCAUGCUUGGGGAUUGGGAAACAGAUAGAAAAUGCUAACUGGAGAGACUAAUUUUCCAUUCUUCUCGCGAGGUUCUUUUAGCUCAGUUUAUAGGGAAUAAACAUUAGAUCCAAUUGUUCAUCCACUUAUGUUUUACUUUUCAGUAGUAAUUUGAAUAAUGGUAGACAUAUCUUACUUUUAAGCCUUUUAAAAAGUUUUUUCAUGCCUUCAGAUAUAAUAAUAUGUCUCUUAUGAGUAUAUUUGUAUAUAAUCAUGGAUUUAGUAUUUUUUAUGUCGCUCUAUCCGUUGUGCUACAUUGUGUAAACUAAAGUAGCUCAUUUUGUUGAAUAUUUCUCCUAUUUCUGUAGAAGUGGCCAUUUCAUUUGUUGUGGCUUCUUUGCUGCUUACACAUGAUGCAUUGAUCAAUUCGGUAAUUUCAUUCUUCAAUAGUAUGAAAAUGAACUGCAAAAACAUUAAAACAACUAUAUUAGAUGAACCUAUGAGUGAUGUUACCAAGCAAGUGUUGUGGGUUUAUAUGUGUUGGUGGUGUUGGAACCGGUGGUUAGUUGGUUGACCGAUCACAACUGCUCUGUCGGGAAGGGACAGUAAUUGUGACCGUGGACAACCUCAUCAAGUUGCUUCCAACUUUGGGAAAAACUUGACCAAGUUGCUUCGAGACAACUUGUGCCGGUUACUUCCUUUUUUUGGAGACAACUUGUGCUAGUUGCUUCCUUUUUCUGGAGACAACUUGUAUCUCUUGUUCUCGUAGUGAGUUUCGGUUUUGUUCUUGGUUUUUUUGAGUUUGUUUUGUCAAGUAAAAAUGGUUGUUGCAGAGAUUAUUUUUUGCAUCUUAAGAAUAUCUCAUGCCAUUUCUGAUUCAACUACCGUUAGGGAGAUGCAAAGUGUUGAUUAGUGGUAGUUCUGGAAUUGGUGGUUAGCUGGUUAUGUAGGCAUGUUGAUAUAAUAUUUCUUACUUCUUAGAAAUUACUCAUUUAACUUUUUACCAAUUUGGGGGCUUAUUCUUGUUAUCUCUAGUGUGAUACUUUCUUGUUCAGGACUUUGAUUUCAGUGAACUGAAUGAAUAUUGUAAACACUAUUCCCAAGAGCAUCAUGGAGUUGAUCAGGAUGGCUAACCAUUUUAUAUUUGGAUUAUCUUCCAUAUACUUUCAGUAAGUUUUGGCAUAUGGCUACCUUCACAUAUAAAGCCAUUUGAAAUGCUGAUAUUUAGUGGGAUUUAUUUUCAAUGUUUGCAUUAGAAAGAAAAUUUGGUCAAAUGUCUGAAAUUCUAGUCAUUUUUAUGCGAUUAUGUGGCAGUAUCAAUAAGAUGAUAAGUACUGAUGAAUUGUGCAGAAGACUUGCACAAGCUGUCUGAAGACUAUGGAGCAUGUUUAAGCUUUUUUUGGAAACACUAUUUUGCUUCGAGUCUAACCAACUUUCUUUGAUGCUUCGAGUCUAUACAUGAAGAUAAAUGUAAAUAUUAUCAUUCGUCUCCUUUCGCACCCCCGUGGUUCCAAAUAAUUGUUGGUUCAAUGUAUUUCGAGUCUAAGACUUUGUAUUUGUAAAUAUCAUUUUAAGUGAUAAAUGUUAUUUCUCUCUCUUAA